GUGGGGAGGAGGCGGAGCCGAGCGCGGGGCGCCGAGCGGGGAGUCGGGAGGGACCGCAGCCUCGCAGAAAACCGGGACUGGAGGCAGAAACCAGGACCACAGGUUACCUGGGCUUGGCCGUCCGGCGGCGGGAAGCACGGGGAGCUGGCCCCAGCGCCCCGGGGCCGAGAAGAUUCCUCGUGGUCCUGAGCCGCGGUCCGCCUUCCAGGCCUCGCACCGGCUGUGCUGCCCCGCGAGGACGCACGACACGGCUCCGUGCCGCCUGCACGGACCGCGCACGACCGUUUGGUCAAACCCGAGCUGCCUGCGUGCCCGCCGCACCCAAGUGCCUCCCCCGAUUGGUAACAAGCUGGACGCCUUUCUGCUCGAAAGAGGGAAACAUCGCGGCGUUCCAGAGUGGUAGCGGGGAGGACACAGACGUGGGAAGACGACGUGGAUGGUUACAACGUCACCCCCGGGCAGAAGCCUGCUGUCCGCGUCUUCCUCCGCCUUUUCAGCACUCGGGUGAACACACCUGGCCGCACCACAGCGCGCGUGCGCACAGGCUCCCGGCGCGCGCUCCCGGAUGAGCUGUGCCGGGGCCAGGGCUCUCCCGCCCCCAGCCGGCCUGUGACACACCUGGUUACAUGGGCCCAAGUGAGACCUGGGUCUAUCAGUCACCGAGUCUCCGGGGACUCUGCAGACCAACUUCAACACAAAUACCACGGAAGCUGGGCCACAAGGGUGGAAAAGAAAAUGUCCAAUUCCUCUUGGUGUUGACAGCACUAGAGGGUCGCAGAAGGAAGGUCGCCGCAGGGUGAACACAGCGCCGUUCACAGGGAGGUGCACGUUCCUCCUAGCUCUCCUGGGUGGACGUGGUCAUGCCCCCACUGACGACGGAGAAGCUGAGACACAGUGGGUACCCUGGGCCGACAGACACACUGCGUGCAAUUUCCCAGUGUUUAUUAAAAUGGCAAACGCGCAGGCUCCACUCGUGCGGAAGGCACUGAAGUCCGUGGGCACACGGCCAGGACGCUCACACCACCCCGUGCCUAGCAGGAGACCCCUCCGGCUCCUCGUGCUCUGUGUCGUCACCUCGAAGUUCCUAACAGUCUUAUCUCUCAAUCUGUUUUGUAAGUGAGGUCCGAGGAGACUGCGCUGGGGGCCCGGAGCCCAGGCUCCAGGUGGUUCUUGCCUUUCAGUCGUCCCCGCGUCCGCAGGACAGCCUCCCAGGCCCCCAGGAGACACCCUCUGUGCGGCGCUUCCCCAGGAGGGGCAGGGCAAAGAGGAGAGGAAGGGUCAGGCAGGCACACCCGUCAGGGCAAGUCUGAGCUGGGGCCUCGGGACGCGUGAAGGGCUGCCCUCGGCCCCUAAGUAUCUGUUCCCUGAAAGAAUGUGACGUUAAAUAACAAAAACAAAAACAUGCCACCAAGACACACCAAGGGUGACCCCACACAACAAAGGGAGUCCUUCCCUGGUGUUUGGACAAGGUGCCUCAGAGUUCCACUUUGUAUGGGGACCCUCACAUUACGUCGCUGGCCCUGGCAGACCAAUAUCCAAAUUAUGCGUCAGAGCACGAUGAAAACGGAGUCGCGAUACUCACUGACUUGUGCUCCCAGGUGACAUCUGACCAGAAUAUAGCCUCAGGGUGAUUGGAAUGCGACACACAUGAAAGCAAGAGCCUUGUCUGUCUUGCUGAAACUUGUAUUAGGAGACCCUAAUAUGAAGCGUGACACAGAGGGUUUUUCCUAUGAAAUAUUUGUUCGUUUAUAUUAGCUGAAUACAUUUUACUGUAACCCAAUAAAAUAGACACUUAAAAAGCCGAAAUAACCUGAAUGUUCUGGGAAAGGUAAGUUUGAUACAUCCAUGCACUUGAAUACUGUGUAGCUGUAGGGCCUGAGUUUGUUCUUCAGGCGCUUGUUCGGAAAGGUCUCUGAGAUAAAUUGUUACCAUUCAUGGAGCAGCUGGCUGCCGUGGUUGGCGGAGCAUGGGACUCUUGAUCUUGGGGUGGUGAGUUCAAGCCCCGUGUUGGGCAUGUGGCGAAGGGGAACAAGGUGGUUCUGGAUGGCUGGGGGCGGGGGGAGGUUUUCAAGGUAUGUUAUUUUGUACCUUUGGAUUUGGAAACAAAUGCUUAUGAAUAACCAAAUAAACAAGAAUUGAUACUUGGAA